UUCGUCUCGUAGACUGUAUUCGCAGCGACGGCAAGCUAGUGGAGUUGCUGAAAUGCAAGCAGUUUGGUCUGAUCAACAAGUGGAGGCUGUCAGAGAACUGCGUGGUUAACUGUCCUGUCAACUGCAUCCUCUCUGAAUGGUCGCAGUGGGCUGAAUGUUCGCACACCUGCGGUAACCAAGGUCAGUCUGUGCGCAGCCGGAGGAUCCUGCAGGAGGCUCAUG